GUAAAUGGUAUGAAUUCCUGUAGGGGCAUCUCAGAAUCUUGUAAGAACUUCUGCAAACAAUGCAUGCCUCUAACUCCCCCACCCCUCCCCUAGGUCUAGGGGACCUAGAUUCUGAAGGUCCCCCUGCUAUAGAAAGUCCCUGGCACUCUUGGGGACCCCAAGCCUGCUGGGAGGAGAGAAGGGUUUCAGACCCCUGCCCUCCAUGCCUGCACUGUGCAUGAGGUAGAAGCAUCUCAGGUCUUGAUGGAAUAGAAUGGUUUUUCCAGGGCUCUAUUAUAAAUUAAUUGC
rnacentral:lncRNA from 1 species